CUACGGAGGGUCCAAGCGUUAUCCGGAUUCAUUGGGUUUAAAGGGUCCGCAGGCGGGAAAAUAAGUCAGUGGUGAAAGCCUACAGCUCAACUGUAGAACUGCCAUUGAAACUGUUUUUCUUGAGUAUAGAUGAAGUGGGCGGAAUAUAUCAUGUAGCGGUGAAAUGCAUAGAUAUGAUAUAGAACACCGAUUGCGAAGGCAGCUCACUAAACUAUUACUGACGCUCAGGGACGAAAGCGUGGGGAGCGAACAGGAUUAGAUACCCCAGUAGUCC
rnacentral:rRNA from 1 species